rnacentral:rRNA from 1 species
AGUGAACGCUGGCGGUAGGCCUAACACAUGCAAGUCGAACGGCAGCACAGUAAGAGCUUGCUCUUACGGGUGGCGAGUGGCGGACGGGUGAGGAAUACAUCGGAAUCUACUUUUUCGUGGGGGAUAACGUAGGGAAACUUACGCUAAUACCGCAUACGACCUACGGGUGAAAGCAGGGGAUCUUCGGACCUUGCGCGAUUGAAUGAGCCGAUGUCGGAUUAGCUAGUUGGCGGGGUAAAGGCCCACCAAGGCGACGAUCCGUAGCUGGUCUGAGAGGAUGAUCAGCCACACUGGAACUGAGACACGGUCCAGACUCCUAAGGGAGGCAGCAGUGGGGAAUAUUGGACAAGGGGCGCAAGCCUGAUCCAGCCAUACCGCGUGGGUGAAGAAGGCCUUCGGGUUGUAAAGCCCUUUUGUUGGGAAAGAAAAGCAGCAGGUUAAUACCCCGCUGUUCUGACGUUACCCAAAGAAUAAGCACCGGCUAACUUCGUG